GGCUGAGGUGGGAGGAUCGCUUGAGCCCAGGAGUUCUGGGCUGCAGUGCGCUAUGCCGAUCGGGUGUCCGCACUAAGUUCGGCAUCAAUAUGGUGACCUCCCGGGAGCGGGGGACCACCAGGUUGCCUAAGGAGGGGUGAACCGGCCCAGGUUGGAAA